CCACUUUCGACUCCGCCUCUUCUCAUCCUCCUCCCUCGAGCAGAGCACAGCCCCUCACUCACAACCCAAACGAGAUUAGUCGAGCAGAGCACAACCCCUCUUCUGAUCCUUCAUCCCAAGGUGUCUACUGUUGCUUCAGAGUCUGCUUUUAGCACAGGAGGUAGAGUACUUAACUGUUAUAGGAGCUCUCUUACUCCAAAGACCGUUGAGGCUUUGAUUUGCACCCAAAAUAGGUGUUUAUCCAUCCUCCCUAAUAUCAACUGAUGUUGAAGAGCUCGUGGAGGAUUUAGAAAAGCUUGAGCUAGAUCUUGCCCCAAUUUUGCAACUAAAUAAAGAGCAAUCUGAUGCGGAGUCUGAUUAGUUGUUGAUUUGCUGUUUGGGAUCAUGUUGCUGUUUGGAGCUGCUGUUGUUUGGAGCUGUUUUUGGAUCAUGGUGCUGUUUUGAAUGUGCUGGCAGUGUUGUUGUUUUAGAAUAUGUUGGAUUCUAUUGUAUUUUCUUUCUUUAUCUAAACUGUGAUUUGUUGCAAUAUGGUUGCUUGUGGCUUGGGUUACUGUUCUGGAAUGCUUUGAAUUUGAACAAUUACACAACUUUUAGUAGUGUAUUUGGGGUUUAGAAUUUGAACAAUAUGCUAUUGGAAUGAAUUUUAGUUGAUGUCAUCAUUUUGAA